UUAAAAAUUGUUCAAGCUCUGUCAUUGUGUUGGGGAUAAUGGGCUAGACAGUAAUUUUCAAGUCUUGCCAUAGAUCUUCAAGGAGAUUUAAGUCAAAAUUCUAACUAGGCCACUCGGGAACAUUCAAUAUCUUCUUGGUAAGCAACUCCAGUGUAUAUUUGGCCUUGUGUUUUAGGUUAUUGUCCUGCUGAAAGGUGAAUUCAUCUCCCAGUGUCAGCUGGAAUGCAGAGGGAAGCAUGUUUUCCUCUAGGAUUUUGCCUUCUGUUUUAUCCUGAAAAACUCCCCAGGAUUUGCCGAUGUCAAGCAUACCCAUAACAUGAUGCAGCCACCACCAUGCUGGAAAAUAAGGAGGCAGUUACUCAAGUGAUGUGUUGUGUUGAAUUUGCACCAAACAUAAGGCUUUGUAUUUAGGCCAAAAAAGGUCCAUUGAAUCCCACUUUGUGACACAAAACAAAAUGUUCAAAUCCAUGGCUGGGUGAAUACUUCUGAUACCCACUGUAUGAGGGGUAACUUUUACUUUUGUGUUUUUAUAUAAGAUGAUUUAAUACCUGAAAUAUAUUAUUAUUUUAAAAGUUAUGUUUUUAAAGCGUAGUGAGUGACUAUGAACCGUGAGUAGUAGUAGUAGAAGAGACCAGAGCUAGUGUGGAGGCAGAUGUGUGUGUGUGUUUAUAGGAGCAGUAUAGGGAGGAUCCCUGGUGUAGUUGGAUAUGGGACAGACAGACAGACAGACAGACAGACAGACAGACAGACAGACAGACAGACAGACGUAGUUGGAUAUGGGACAGACAGACAGACAGACAGACAGACAGACAGACAGACAGACAGACAGACGUAGUUGGAUAUGGGACCGACAGACAGACAGACAGACAGACAGACAGACAGACAGACAGACAGACAGACGUAGUUGGAUAUGGGACAGACAGACAGACAGACAGACAGACAGACAGACAACAGACAGACAGACAGACAGACAGACAGACAGACAGACAGACAGACAGACAGACAGACAGACGUAGUUGGAUAUGGGACCGAAGACAGACAGACAGACAGACAGACAGACAGACAGACAGACGUAGUUGGAUAUGGGACAGACAGACAGACAGACAGACAGACAGACAGACGUAGUUGGAUAUGGGACAGACAGACAGACAGACAGACAGACAGACAGACAGACACUGGUGUAGUUGGAUAUGAGACAGACAGACAGACAGACAGACAGACAGACAGACAGACGUAGUCGGAUUUGAGACAGACUUAGUUGGAUAUGAGACAGACAGACAGACAGACAGACGUAGUUGGAUAUGGGACAGACAGACAGACAGACAGACAGACAGACAGACAGACAGACAGACAGACAGACAGACACUGUUGGAUAUCAGACAGACAGACAGACAGACAGACAGACAGACAGACAGACAGACAGACAGACAGACGUAGUUGGAUAUCAGACAGACAGACAGACAGACACAGACAGACAGACAGACAGACAGACAGACGUAGUUGGAUAUGGGACAGACAGACAGACAGACAGACAGACAGACAGACGUAGUUGGAUAUGGGACAGACAGACAGACAGACAGACAGACAGACAGACAGACAGACAGACAGACAGACAGACGUAGUUGGAUAUCAGACAGACAGACAGACAGACAGACAGACAGACAGACAGACAGACAGACGUAGUUGGAUAUCAGACAGACAGACAGACAGACAGACAGACACUGGUGUAGUUGGAUAUCAGACAGACAGACAGACAGACAGACUGGAGUAGUUGGAUAUUUGGACACUAGGCUAACACCCUCCAUGUGAUUGUCUGAAAUGACACCCUAUUCCCUACAUAGUGCAGAGUUCUCCGGUCAAAAGUAGUGCACUAUCCCAUAGGGCUCCGGUCAAAAGUAGUGCACUAUCCCAUAGGGCUCCGGUCAAAAGUAGUGCACUAUCCCAUAGGGCUCUGGUCAAAAGUAGCGCACUAUGUAGGGAAUAGCAUGCUGUUUCAGACACCGCCUGUCUGUCUGUGGAGUGUAAAGAUGUGUUGUUGAUUCUAAUCACAAUCUUUUUGUAAAUUGCAUCAAAAUGGUUUAAAAGCCUCCAUCGGGUUUAAGUUACUGUACAACUGGAAGAUGAUUGGCUGAUGUUUUAAUGAUCCUCUCAGGUGGUCACUGCUUUGAUUGGACGGGAUGAAAUGGUGCUCUGUGAAUGGCUGUUAUGUUGAUGGGGGGCGGGUCUGACCUGUUCUCUCUCUCUGUUUCUAUUGGUCACAUUACUGAUCCGUCUGUCUGUAAAUACAGCUACUGUCUCGAAAGGCAUCCUUUUGGUCGUUACUAGUUAAUACAGCCACAAAGUCAUACUUAUGGCUAAACCCCGCCUAUUUCUAAAAUGUUUAUUCUUAAAAUCAGAUUUUAAACCUAACCCUAACCACAAUGAUAACCUAAUGCCUAACCUUAUUAAAUGAAGUCCAAAAAGCACAUGUUUGUUUUCAUGAAUUUUUUACGAUAUAGCCAAUGCCCUGACUUUGUGGCUGUGAUACAGACAGGAAGUACACUAAACUACAGGAAGUGCUAGGUCACAUGACGGAACAAUUCCAGAAUGAAGUGCAGGUUCUAGAACCAUCCAUGUAGCUAAUGAUUGUGCCUUCUGUUUUACCGUCAUUACGUCCCUAAUGGCACCGGUAGUCCCUAUGUAGUGCACUAGUUUUGGCCAGUCCACUUUCCAUAGGCCCUUGCGAUAGACUGGUGUCCUAUUUAGGGGGUGUACUUGUACAUCAAGCUGCCUCACACUACAGAAACAGGAGAAACAGAGCGAACCUUUUUGGCUCUGACGAUGCUUACUUACUAUACAGGUAAUAUUGGGUCAUUUGAGACACAUACUGUGUGAUAGUGGAUGGGGACGGUUCUACUGUGUGGUAGUGGAUGGGGUCGGUUCUACUGUGUGAUAGUGGAUGGGGUCGUUUCUACUGUGUGAUAGUGGAUGGGGACGGUUCUACUGUGUGAUAGUGGAUGGGGUCGUUCUACUGUGUGGUAGUGGAUGGGGACGGUUCUACUGUGUGGUAGUGGAUGGGGUCGUUCUACUGUGUGGUAGUGGAUGGGGACGUUCUACUGUGUGAUAGUGGAUGGGGACGGUUCUACUGUGUGAUAGUGGAUGGGGUCGUUCUACUGUGUGAUAGUGGAUGGGGUCGUUCUACUGUGUGGUAGUGGAUGGGGUCGUUCUACUGUGUGAUAGUGGAUGGGGACGUUCUACUGUGUGGUAGUGGAUGGGGUCAUUCUACUGUGUGAUAGUGGAUGGGGACGUUCUACUGUGUGAUAGUGGAUGGGGUCGUUCUACUGUGUGAUAGUGGAUGGGGACGUUCUACUGUGUGGUAGUGGAUGGGGUCGUUCUACUGUGUGAUAGUGGAUGGGGACGUUCUACUGUGUGAUAGUGGAUGGGGUCGUUCUACUGUGUGAUAGUGGAUGGGGACGUUCUACUGUGUGGUAGUGGAUGGGGUCGUUCUACUGUGUGGUAGUGGAUGGGGUCGUUCUACUGUGUGGUAGUGGAUGGGGACGUUCUACUGUGUGAUAGUGGAUGGGGUCGUUCUACUGUGUGAUAGUGGAUGGGUUCGUUCUACUGUGUGGUAGUGGAUGGGGUCGUUCUACUGUGUGGUAGCGGAUGGGGUCGUUCUACUGUGUGGUAGCGGAUGGGGACGUUCUACUGUGUGGUAGCGGAUGGGGUCGUUCUACUGUGUGAUAGUGGAUGGGGACGUUCUACUGUGUGAUAGUGGAUGGGGUCGUUCUACUGUGUGAUAGUGGAUGGGGUCGUUCUACUGUGUGGUAGUGGAUGGGGACGUUCUACUGUGUGAUAGUGGAUGGGGUCGUUCUACUGUGUGAUAGUGGAUGGGGACGGUUCUACUGUGUGAUAGUGGAUGGGGUCGUUCUACUGUGUGAUAGUGGAUGGGGUCGUUCUACUGUGUGAUAGUGGAUGGGGUCGUUCUACUGUGUGGUAGUGGAUGGGGUCGUUCUACUGUGUGAUAGUGGAUGGGGUGGUGAUCUGAUCCUCUGUCUGUCUGUCUGCGUACCGAUCUGUCUGUGGUGAUCUGAUCCUCUGUCUGUCUGCGUACCGAUCUGUCUGUGUGUUUUUGGGUUAAACUCGUCAGGUUCAUUGGUGUAUCUAGUCAGUCAGAACCUACCAAUUAGAAUCACUGAGGUCACUAGAGAUCAGCCAAACUGAAAUGUUGUGUAGAGUGGAAGGUAAGCAUGUGUACUACAUCAUACACAACAUGUGUACUACAUCAUACACAACAUGUGUACUACAUCAUACACAACAUGUGUACUACAUCAUACACAACAUGUGUACUACAUCAUACACAACAUGUGUAGAGUGGAAGGUGAGCAUUUGUACUACAUCAUACACAACAUGUGUACUACAUCAUACACAACAUGUGUAGAGUGGAAGGUGAGCAUUUGUACUACAUCAUACACAACAUGUGUACUACAUCAUACACAACAUGUGUACUACAUCAUACACGACAUGUGUAGAGUGGAAGGUGAACAUGUGUACUACAUCAUACACAACAUGUGUACUACAUCAUACACAACAUGUGUACUACAUCAUCAUACCUCUGCCUUUUACAUCUGUAAACAGGAAGUGAUAUCAGCAGCAUUUAAACAGUACUGUCCUUCAUUUCAGGUCUUCAGUCAUUUCAGAACAAGAACAACGAAGAUGAACAGUGAAAAACAGCCUGAACGUUAUUAUCUGAAGGCCAAACUAGCUUUUUAGCGGCAGGAAUAUUCUUAGAUACUUUGCCGUAACGGGGGGAAAUAAAAACCUAAAAUGCAUUUAAACUGAACAAUAAAAAUGAGUAAAUCAUACCUCUGCAUUUUUACGUCUGACCCUAAGAAAUCUCUGUUUCAACUAGAAUUGUAAGGGGGGGGUGUAGUGGUGUAAUGUAUUGUGAAGUGUGUGUACACUGAGUAUACAAAACAUUAAGAACACCUGCUCUUUCCAUGACAGACUGACCAGGUGAAUCCAGGUGAAAGCUAUGAUCCCUUUUUGAUGUCACCUGUUAAAUCCACUUCAAUCAGUGUAGAUGAAGGGGAGGAGACGAGUUAAAGAAGGGUUUUAAUCCAUGAGACAAUUGAGACAUGGAUUGUGUAUGUGUGACCAUUCAGAGGGUGAAUGGGCAAGACAAAAUAUUGAAGUGCCUUUAAACGGGGUAAUGGUAGUAGGUGCUAGGCGGUUUGUGUCAAGAACUGCAACACUGCUGGGUUUUUUACCCUCAACAGUUUCCUGUGUGUAUCAAGAAUGGUCCACCACCCAAAGGACAUCCAGCCAACUUGAUACAACUGUGGGGAAGCAUUGGAGUCAACAUGGACCAGCAUCCCUGUGGAAACGCUUUCGACACCUUGUCGAGUCCAUGACCCCGAUGAACUGAGGCUGUUCUGAGGGCAAAACGAUGGUGAAACUCAAUAUUAGGAAGGUGUUCUUAAUGUUUUGUACACUCUCAGUGUAGGUUAAUAUUGAACCUACUGGUUAUUUACCCACAAAUCACCAGGUCCUGGAAGGACAGCUUCUCCCUCCCUCUCAAGCUGUAGUGGUAGAGAACAUCAUUGGUAGCAAUUUUGCAGAGGACAGAAGUUUUUAUUUAUUAUAACCUUUAACUAGUAAUUGAUCUAAAAUGACAGACAAAAGUGAGUGUCAGUUUCCCCAUUAUCCUGAAUACUGUGAUUUACAACCGAUUGUUGUGGGAAGAUCUGGGAACAAAACUGAAUUGGUUCUCGAUUAAUUGUUUCCAGCUUCAUCAGGUUGUUUCGGAAACCGGAAAUAGUUUUAAGUCGAGUACAAAGGUUAUAGUUAAUAGUCCAAUUCAUUUCAAUGUUUUUCUAUACUUUAGUGAACAAUCAUCUCCCCAUAACAUCCUCACACCCUUGUCGAAAUAAAGCAAGAAAGUUGGCUGUGGUCUGUGAUUUAUCCAAGUUAUAUAGUGUCCGUGAUACUUUUACGCAGUAGGCCUUAACCUAACGACACACGGCGACUUGUAACAUUAAAGUUAUAAUCCUUAGUUGCCACAUCCAUUU
rnacentral:lncRNA from 1 species